rnacentral:lncRNA from 1 species
GUUGCCAAUUAUAUUAUUUUGCACCGUUAAUUGAUUCAUGGAUAUUUUCUUUCCUAUGUACUUACUUUCUUUUGGAUUUUUGGAGGAUUAUCUAUACCUAAACUUUGUUCAACUACUAACCUACAUGAUUGAAACAUUUGUAUUAAGAGAGGAAGUACUUGAAUGUGCAAUAAUAUCUAACUUAAUUUUCGAAGGUAUAGAAAGUUUGUUAGAUAAUUUUCGUUCCAUUUAUUUGUCCUUUCCCG